AUUUUGUGACCCUUUUAUCGUUCAGUUAGUGAUGCCAAAAAAUUAUUAAAUUUGAUUUCUAGAUAAUUUAAAUGGUCUAGAUCAUAUUCAACGGUGCCGAUCGUCGGUUUGGAAGCUCUAUCAUCAAAAAUAAAUUGGUAGUAAACCGAGCAGUUUACUACCGAUAGUAGCCCAGUCAAACUCUAUAUAUAGAACUAGACUGGAAUACUAUUAAUAGCACCAAUGACUUAGUGCUAUUAAGUUUUCUGCCCUUGGAUGAAAAGAUGUGUGGUUAGAAUGAUGUGGGCUCUCUAGGGUUGAGUGGGUGGUCGGUUGAAUAGUAUAAUCGAACGGACAAAAAUAAUAAAAGAGGUAUAUAUAUAUAUAUAUAUGUGUGUGUGUGUGUGUGUGUGUGUGUGUGUGUGUGUGUGUGAUAUUUUUCUAAAGGUCAAUAGACAGCUACAGAUAGUGUGAGACUAUAACUGU
rnacentral:lncRNA from 1 species